AUUGACCUCGGAUCAGGUAGGGAUACCCGCUGAACUUAAGCAUAUCAAUAAGCGGAGGAAAAGAAACCAACAGGGAUUGCCUCAGUAACGGCGAGUGAAGCGGCAACAGCUCAAAUUUGAAAUCUGGCCCCUUCGGGGUCCGAGUUGUAAUUUGUAGAGAGUGCUUCGGGUGCGACCGCGGUCUAAGUCCAUUGGAACAUGGCGUCAUAGAGGGUGAGAAUCCCGUAUGUGACUGUGGCUCAAGCCCGCGUGAAGCCUCUUCGACGAGUCGAGUUGUUUGGGAAUGCAGCUCAAAAUGGGUGGUAAAUUUCAUCUAAAGCUAAAUACUGGCUGGAGACCGAUAGCGCACAAGUAGAGUGAUCGAAAGAUGAAAAGCACUUUGGAAAGAGAGUCAAACAGUACGUGAAAUUGUUGAAA
rnacentral:rRNA from 1 species